ACAUAGGAAUCUGCCUCAGAGCGGGGGAUAGCCCAGGGAAACUUGGAGUAAUACCGCAUGAUGUCGAGAGACCAAAGCAGGGGACCGCAAGGCCUUGCACUCUGAGAGGAGCCUAUGUCUGAUUAGCUAGUUGGCGGGGUAAUGGCCCACCAAGGCAACGAUCAGUAACUGGUCUGAGAGGACGAUCAGUCACACCGGAACUGAGACACGGUCCGGACUCCUACGGGAGGCAGCAGUGGGGAAUAUUGGACAAUGGGCGAAAGCCUGAUCCAGCAAUGCCGCGUGUGUGAAGAAGGCCUUCGGGUUGUAAAGCACUUUAGGCUGGAAAGAAAAAAUUCAAGCUAACAUCUUGAGUCUUGACGGUACCAGCAGAAUAAGCACCGGCUAACUCUGUGCCAGCAGCCGCGGUAAUACAGAGGGUGCAAGCGUUAAUCGGAUUUACUGGGCGUAAAGCGUGUGUAGGUGGUUGUUCAAGUCGGUUGUGAAAUCCCCGGGCUCAACCUGGGAAUUGCUUCCGAGACUGAGCGACUAGAGUACGGUAGAGGGCGGUGGAAUUUCCGGUGUAGCGGUGAAAUGCGUAGAUAUCGGAAGGAACACCAAUGGCGAAGGCAGCCGCCUGGGCCUGUACUGACACUGAGACACGAAAGCGUGGGGAUCAAACAGGAUUAGAUACCCUGGUAGUCCACGCCGUAAACGAUGGGUACUUGACGUCGGCAUGCUCUGCGUGUCGGUGUCGUAGCUAACGCGAUAAGUACCCCGCCUGGGGAGUACGGCCGCAAGGUUGAAACUCAAAGGAAUUGACGGGGGCCCG
rnacentral:rRNA from 1 species